rnacentral:lncRNA from 1 species
UGUGGUCACAGUUGAGGAAAGUUGGUUUGUAACAUCAGCAGUCUUGAGUAGCAAUCUCAGAAAACUUCUUUUGGUGAUGACCAUGACUUAUGUGUGUCUAUUUUAGUAAUAAUGGCCCGUGAUGUAUCCUCUUUUCUUUCUCAUGGUGGCCCUAUUCAUAAUUUUCAGCUUUCUGAAGAGGAUCUGAGGUGAACACAUCAGCCUGCAGUGUCCCUAGCAAUGGAAUGCUCCCCAAGGAACACACCUUCAUCUGACUAAUUGUCUUUCAAAAUUGAUUUUAGCCAGUCUCUUAAAUUGCUACGGUCAGGUGCAGCACUCCAAAGAGAAUUUGAGUUCUAGGCGUUGGUGUAUUUUUCCUAUUGCUUCACACCUGGAAAAAAGGUAUCCAUUACAACUCCAGAAAGUCAUGCAGGUACCAAAUGAAAAACCUGGAAUUUGUGUUUUGAGAACUAUGAAACAAGAGAAAACAUAUGGAAUAUUAUCAGUGACCUCAAAAUUAAAAUUAAAAUAGCCAACCUUUAUGUUUCAAACUAAAUUGGCAGGUAAUUUUACAAUUAUUGAAGACAAGAAGGAGGAUUGCUAAGGAUUACAUUUAAAGUCCUCACAUAUGUUUGAUACAUUCUCAAAAAUAUUCUAUGAAAGGAAAAAGAGACUUUUUCUCAAACAUGUUCUCUAGAAAGCUUAAGUACUUACAUAUUGCUCCUGGUCUGGAUUAUGUUGUUAUUUUCACAGGUUUCCCUCUUGCUAAUGAAGCAUGUGACUUAGUGUGGUAGCAGGUUUUCCCCUUGUUUCUAAAGGGAGGACCCAGCAUCCAAAAAUAGACUGAUUUUAUGCUUAAACACUGAAGUAAUAGUUCUGGGAAUAAGAGCCUUCAAAGUCUCUUAAGUUUCUUUAUAUCCCUUAUUUUAUUUGCUAAGAAUAUUAUGGAAACUCUGCCAAUACCCUUUGGUAAGAAGCUAAUUAACAAUGAAUGAGUAUAGUCAAUUGAGAUAUUGUUAUGUAAGCAAAUAGAACAAUGCCAGGUUACAUCGUUUAUUAUAAAACAUGUCUCAAUUAAAAUUUCAUGUGAUAUAGUGCAUGCAGAUUUUCUAGGAUAAACAGCAAUGUUUUAGAGACUAAAACCCUUUUACAGCAUGCUAGUAAACCCUGAGAUAGCAAAUCAAUAGAAUAUUCAUGUCAAGCAAGAGAGUUUC